rnacentral:tRNA from 1 species
GGAUGGCUCAGCAGUUAGGAGCACUGACUGCUUGCUCUUCCAGAGGAUCUGGGUUCGAUUCCCAGCAUCCA